rnacentral:rRNA from 1 species
GUUGAACGCUGGCGGCAUGCCUUACACAUGCAAGUCGAACGGCAGCACGGGUGCUUGCACCUGGUGGCGAGUGGCGAACGGGUGAGUAAUAUAUCGGAACGUACCUUAUUGUGGGGGAUAACGCAGCGAAAGCUGUGCUAAUACCGCAUAAUCCCUAAGGGGGAAAGCGGGGGACCGUAAGGCCUCGCGCAAUUAGAGCGGCCGAUACCUGAUUAGCUAGUUGGUGAGGUAAAGGCUCACUAAGGCAACGAUCAGUAGCUGGUCUGAGAGGACGAUCAGCCACACUGGGGCUGAGACACGGCCCAGACUCCUACGGGAGGCAGCAGUGGGGAAUUUUGGACAAUGGGGGCAACCCUGAUCCAGCAAUGCCGCGUGAGUGAAGAAGGCCUUCGGGUUGUAAAGCUCUUUUGUCAGGGAAGAAACAGCAGCUCUAACACAGUUUGCGAAUGACGGUACCUGAAGAAUAAGCACCGGCUAACUACGUGCCAGCCGCCGCGGUAA